GGAACUUGUUUUGACAGAAAAGACUCACUUGCUGCACUAAGUUAAAUGUGUUAAGCUGAAGACGUAUUUUAGCCACUUUGUUUACUUAGUUAUUUUCGUAAACAAAAAAA